CAAUGGCAACCAGACCUGCUUGAUAAGCAAACCCAAUCAAACAAAUUCUUCCCGUAGCGCCGCGGCCUGCAAUCGGAAUUUUGUGAAGAAGAAAGCAAACCCAUUUGCUGUUGUUGAUGUUCAUCCACUUUUUUGCCUUCAUAAACAAUGGAGAGUCGGAGGAACUGAUCUAAUAACACCUUGGCAUCAGUGCAUAAGCGGAUGUAUUUCUCCAACAAAUUUCUCCUUCUAUUGUUUUCUUCAUUGAUAUACACUCUUAAUUGUUCUCGGGUCAGUUGGCUUCUUGCUAAUCUUCCAACUGAAACCAAAAUUUAAAAAAAUGCUGCAACUCAGACAAAUUCAUGAACAUAGAUGAAUAUCAAACCAAUGAAUAUGCUAACUUUCUCGUGAUCAUAUCUUUUUUCUCGUGUGUCUGAAGAGAUUCUCCAUUGUGUAAACAAGGCGAGGAUCACAUUAGAUUCAACACAUUUUGCUCUUAGUGUUCUUUCCAUCAUCUAAAGAAUGAUUCAUUCCUACAAUCUAGACUUGAGUUUGACUCUUUUGGAAAGAAAAAGAUAGUCAAAAGAGGCAAAAGGAACAAAAUAAUGGCAUUUCACUAUGACCCGUAUUCAUCAAACAUCAUCUGUAGGCAUAUUAUAGAAGAAAAAUAACCUAGAAAAGUUGUUGAUGACUGAUCUGCGAAUCUUUGAUUAUGAUCUGAAAGAUGGAAAAAAAAAAGGAAAGAAAGGUAUAAAUCUUGAUUACCUGGUGUAGGGAUGUAGGUGAGAAGAGGAAAAACAUGGACGAGAAAGACACAACAACCUGGUGAGACGACAUGAUUAAGGGCCCAUUUAAGCACAUCUAUAUCAUCUUUACCCACGGCGACGUAGACGUCAGUUGCAGCACCGUCUCUGCUACUAAUAAUAGUCUUACUUUCCUCUCCGAUCUCAACGAUUUCUGGCGACAUGAUCCUUGCACUGAAACAUUGCAGUUGCAACUCUGUUGGUCUCCCUUGAAAGUCCUCUUCCAUUCUUAGCUCUCUCUCUUUCUCUUUUGCUAUAACAAUGAGAACUGAUAUGAGAAUGAAAAUGACAAGAAUGUGUUUUAGUGGGGUGAAAGUAUACAAAAGAGAAAAAAGAGAGAAAAAGAGGAUAGAUUCUCUUGUAUCAUGGGCCUGCAACUUCAUUGUUAUGUCAACAUUUGUUUUUUUCCCCUUGUUGUAUGUCUUUGGUUAAGUCAAAUAGAUGAGAUGAAAAAACCAAAGAAAUUCUUCUGAUUUGCUUCUCUCAAAGUGAAAAGUGUGACCCUUAUUUCCUUAGCUUUAACCACAUGAAUAAAGAACUCUUAUCAGUUUGAUUUUUC